UGUCGGAGGUUCCCUCCGCAGGGAGGGGGAAAGACGACCUCCUCAGAGGAUCUGCCCCACCACCCCGGCCGGGUCGCGGCCCAGCCGGGUACCGCCGCUGGGAGGCCCGGUCGUGCCCCGCCGCGGGUCAGAGCUACCGCCCCGGAAUGGCAACAGCAGCACUUCUACCAAUCUUUGUUCAUGCCAUGUAUUGCCAAAAGCAGAAGUUAGCUUGAAAAAGGACAUAAGGAACAGCUCUGGUCAAGUGUUUGAAUGAGUCAUCUGCAGAGAGUUGAGGUUAAUGGAGGUGGGACAUCAUCUGUUCUCAUUUUUUGAUCGCUGUUUUUGGAACCUGCACUGGGAGUGGAGGAAGGUCUGUGGACUACUUGAAGUCUGCCAGAAAACAAAAGAGAGAGGGAUGCCCAACGCCAGGUUUAAAUUUGCUGUGCAGUAGUCUGCCCCUCUACUGGAAAACUGGUGUCUAUAAAUUGAAAAAUAACAUAUGCCUAGAUAACUACCAAUUCAUACAGAAGUUGCAUCAAGCAACAGCAUUGUGGCAAGAAACUGAUGUACAGCACAAAGAAAGGAAGAAAGAAGAUGCAGCAAACCAAGGGAGUUAAAUGAUAAACCCAAGUUCAGAUGAAGGAAUACAGAAAAAGCUAAAAUACAGAACUAAGAAAACAGGACACACAGAGUGGGCAGGAAGGAGAGCUGGAAUUGCCAGACUUGGGAAGCACCUGCAACUUGUCCAUCAGCCUGCAUUCUCACACUCGCUUUCCCUCAGGAAAUGUUGAGCUAGAUGACAGGAUGCCACAUUUAGGAAGAUUUUUAAAUACAUGUAUGUUGGGACCAGUUAUCUGAAUGUUUAAGUUUAACCAAGUUAAAUUGGAAGGUUUUGGUAAGUUUGGAGAGCCCCCACCUGUAUCCCAGAUUUCUGCUGUUAUUUUUGUCAUAUCAUAGAAGCUGCUACACAAUUUGUUCCAAGGAUGCUGAAUUGCCAAGAUCCAGGUUUUCAAGACAUCUUCUGAAUGUAGAUGCAUUACAGAGGAAAUCUGUUACUUUGCUGCAGCCUGAUGAAGUCUUCAACACUGGGUGAUCUUCCAGGAAGAAACAUUUAGCAGUCUCUGCCCUGUGGGCACAAAUACACUCGGGGGCAUGGGAACCAAAUAGCCGGCAUCAAACCAGUUGAGAGUGGAUGCUCGGCCAAACUCUAGCACCAGCUACGAAAAAGCCAUCAAAUGUAGCUGUUCUGCUAUGAAGAAGUGAUUACCAUGCUGACUAAUAUAUUAAGUGCUUACUUGUUUGGUUCAGCACAUAAAAAAUCCGAGGAAGAAAAAUUUGAGGAAAUCAAAUUAAAAAUGGGGACCUGAGAAAAAGAGAGUCACAAUCAUCUGGCCUGUCAAUCUCUCCCAUCGCUUUUUAUCCUCUGAAGCCACUUCCAGAUCCAUUUGGAAGAGUAAAAAUCUUCAGAGAUCAUGACAUUCUCGGUAGGUUUGGUGGGUAAGGGGAUGGGUGGAUAUGAGCAGCUCAAUAAAGACUGAGCUCCCAAUGCUCCCACAAGCACAAAGGCAGAACUAAGCAGACAAACCCUCUGCGGUACUGCUGCCUGAGGUUAUUUGGGGGGUAUGAUACAGUAGGGGACCAAGGUCAUGCAUCACAGAAAGACAGGCUUCAUUAUUUCCACUGCUCGUGGAACAACUCAUUUUUAAUUGCCAUGCUAGAGUAAUUUGGCUCAAGAGUUAUAGUCUAUGGCAAUUAAAAACGGCACAUCUUGGCACUUUUAAUCAAUUAACGUUGCUUCAUGGCAGAACCAUUUCAAUCAUCUUCAGGAUAACACCACUGCUUUUAAUUUAUUGUUUAAAACCAUUG